AGUGAACGCUGGCGGUAGGCCUAACACAUGCAAGUCGAACGGCAGCACAGUAAGAGCUUGCUCUUGCGGGUGGCGAGUGGCGGACGGGUGAGGAAUACAGCGGAAUCUACUUUUUCGUGGGGGAUAACGUAGGGAAACUUACGCUAAUACCGCAUACGACCUACGGGUGAAAGCAGGGGAUCUUCGGACCUUGCGCGAUUGAAUGAGCCGAUGUCGGAUUAGCUAGUUGGCGGGGUAAAGGCCCACCAAGGCGACGAUCCGUAGCUGGUCUGAGAGGAUGAUCAGCCACACUGGAACCGAGACACGGUCCAGACUCCUACGGGAGGCAGCAGUGGGGAAUAUUGGACAACGGGCGAAAGCCUGAUCCAGCCAUACCGCGUGGGUGAAGAAGGCCUUCGGGUUGUAAAGCCCUUUUGUUGGGAAAGAAAAGCAGCAGGUUAAUACCUCGCUGUUCUGACGGUACCCAAAGAAUAAGCACCGGCUAACUUCGUG
rnacentral:rRNA from 1 species